GUCCAGGGGUCAGUCCCUGGGACACUGACUGCCGUGACCGGGGAUGUCCUCGUGCUUUCCUCUGUCAGGUUUGUGGACGAGGGGUGCGAGAGCAUUCGUGAGAAUGUGGGCACUCGUGUGUCUGCUGCAGGAGCCUGUGCGCAGGCGCAGACGCAGCCAAAGCUCCAGGGAUCCGUUCCCCUGCUUGAUGCUCACUUUCCGACGGGUGUCGGGCCAUGCUGUGUGCCAUCCGGGCUCUGGGCUAGGAGUCCUCCACACCUGUCACAGGCCCUGCUCCGAAGGUGACCACGUGAGGCAGAGUUCUUAUCCCAAUUAAUUAUUGAAGACACUGAAAUGAAGAGGGUGGAGGGCCAUGCAUGCCCAGGGUCACAAAGCCACCACUGGCUGAGCUGGAGAAUGCAGGUUUGUGUGACAUCAAAGUGCUGCUCUUUACCGCUUCAUUAUGGGGUCAGUUAAUUUUCACUGAGCACAAAGAGCACCGUGACCUGGUUUCUGCCCUUCCGGAGCACCUGGAGAUGGGGGGAAAAGAGCAAAUAAAAAUAAUACAAGUCGUUA